rnacentral:lncRNA from 1 species
UUUCCUCGUGCCAUCAAAACAUUCCACGCCAGAAUGCAAUCAGCCUUCCCCUCUUUCCAUCUCCUAUAUGAACUUCCCCACAAGACCCUCCUCACCCGUCACCCUUAAAACCUCCGAGCACAAGAAGAUCUCGAUGGCUACCUCUGUCGUCUUCUCUGCUUUUGUUUUCCUUUGGCGCACGAUCAACUGCAUCCACACAGUCUGGCCUUCAAGAACACCUUAUCGUUUCCCCCUCGGCCUUCGAGUUC